GAUGAAGAACGUAGCAAAAUGCGAUAAGUAAUGUGAAUUGCAGAAUUCAGUGAAUCAACGAAUCUUUGAACGCACAUUGCGCCCGCCAGUAUUCUGGCGGGCAUGCCUGUUCGAGCGUCAUUUCAACCCUCAAGCCCUCGGGUUUGGUGUUGGGGAUCGGCGAGCCUUUCUGGCAAGCCGGCCCCGAAAUCUAGUGGCGGUCUCGCUGCAGCCUCCAUUGCGUAGUAGUAAAACCCUCGCAACUGGAACGCGGCGCGGCCAAGCCGUUAAACCCCCAACUUCUGAAUGUUGACCUCGGAUCAGGUAGGAAUACCCGCUGAACUUAAGCAUAUCAAUAAGCGGAGGA
rnacentral:misc_RNA from 1 species